rnacentral:sRNA from 1 species
CGCCGUGGAUCCCGGCCCAGAGUCCCCACCCCCCUGGAAAGCCUAGUGCCCCCAGCCCCCAGCGGGCCGUUUUCUGAGACGCCGGGUGGCCGCGGCCCCCACCCCACGUACCCCCACCCGCAGGCGUGAACAUCGGGGGCGCGGGCUCCUACAUCUACGAGAAGCCCCUGGCGGAGGGGCCGCAGGUCACCGGCCCCAUCGAGGUCCCCGCGGCCCGAGCAGAGGAGCGGAAGGCCAGCGGCCCCCCGAAGGGGCCCAGCAGAGCUUCCAGUGUCACAACUUUCACCGGGGAGCCCAACACGUGCCCGCGCUGCAGCAAGAAGGUGUACUUCGGUGAGUGCGCGCCGGGGCCCCGGACCCCCGCCCCCGCCCCGCCCCGCCCCGCCCCGGGGCUCGGCCUCACUCCCCCCCCUUUGCAGCUGAGAAGGUGACGUCUCUGGGCAAGGAUUGGCACCGGCCCUGCCUGCGCUGCGAGCGCUGCGGGAAGACACUGACCCCCGGCGGGCACGCGGAGGUGAGGGGAGCGCAACGGGGCUUGGGGGCCGGGCAGGGGCGCGGGGUGUGGGGGAUGAGGGUGAGAGGCGCGCC